rfam:Hebeloma cylindrosporum h7 unplaced genomic scaffold scaffold_4, whole genome shotgun sequence.
GCCCCCGUUGUCUAAUGGUUAUGACGUCAGACUUCUAAUCUGGAGGUUGUGGGUUCGAUCCCCACCGGGGGUU